rnacentral:piRNA from 1 species
UUGGUCUAAGCUUAGGAUUCACAGUUAAU